GGUAGUGUAGUUAACACCUGCAUUAUUUGACGUUACCUACAGAAGAAGCACCGGCUAACUCCGUGCCAGCAGCCGCGGUAAUACGGAGGGUGCGAGCGUUAAUCGGAAUUACUGGGCGUAAAGCGCAUGCAGGCGGCCUGUUAAGUCAGAUGUGAAAGACCCGGGGCGUUAACCUCGGAAUUGCAUUUGAAACUGGCAGGCUAGAGUCUUGUAGAGGGGGGUAGGAAUUUCAGGUGUAGCGGUGAAAUGCGUAGAGAUCUGAAGGAAUACCAGUGGCGAAGGCGGCCCCCUCGGACAAAGACUGACGCUCAGAUGCGAAAGCGUGGGGAGCAAACAGGAUUAGAUACCCCUGGUAG
rnacentral:rRNA from 1 species